rnacentral:rRNA from 1 species
UCAAACCAUCCGAGUUGGGUUCCAGUGAGGUCGCCUCCGAUUGGGGCGUUCGAACUGGGAUUCAGCAAGGAAGGUUAAGUCGUAACAAGGUAUCUGUAGGGGAACCUGCAGAUGGAUCACCUCCU